CUAAACAAAGGAUGGCCACCAGAUUCAGGCACAUGUGGAAACAGAUACAGGAAACCCAGCUGGGGUCACCUGAAAGGGAGGGUAUAUGGGAAUUGACAUCCCAGGAAACCACCCUCCCUCCAGGAGAAAUGGGGAGGGGGGGUGGAUAAGGGGGAAAAGAGGACAUCUCAGAGAAAGGCCCAGGGCUGGAAACCUACUUAACAGCAAGGUCCUAUUGGGGUCAGGGAGGUCCUUUGUUCUCUUGCAAAUUUGUUUUCAAAACUGUUUGUCUGUUCCCUUUAAGAGGCAGGUUACAGGAGGAGGAGGAGGAAAGUCUGGACUUUCUGUGAUGAAAGUACAGGGAGGAGCCAUGACAAGGGCAACAUCUGCAAAGGGCCCUCCUUCAGCCAACAGAACAGGGUGACUGGGCAGCUCGGCACACACACAGCUCUGACUCCCGGCUUGUUGUGGAUACCAGGCACAGGAUAUCUGCCCAGCUCUCCACCUCCUUCCCUGAUAACUGCUUCUGGGGGCGCUGACUCACCCUCGCCGCUUCCCUGAGGCAGAGGACGGCGAGGCAGACAUUGGAUUUCCCGAGGGAGGAAGCCCUCAGCUUGGAUACCCAACCUCCAGGAAGGAUGUGGGGUCAGAGCUUACUUUCCCUCUCCCUUGCAAACCUGCACCAAAUCUGAAGGGUUCCCAUCUCCCUCAGGUAAUUUCCAUCAGCAUGAAGUACUGCCUGCUACGCAUCUUCCAGUAAAUUACCUCGAGAAGAGGGCUCGAUGCGAAAAGCAACUACUCCAGCUAAUGCCACUACACAGAUGGCAGAUAGGGUGUUCCCUCCUGCGAAGACUAACAUUCCAUAGUCCUAGAGAAGAGGAUGAAUUUAGCACCAACUCUGGAAUUUUUUUGCAAGAGUUUCAAAGGAAGACAAAGCUGAGCCUCAUCCAGCUAAAGGUUUGGGCAACUCACCACAACAGG